AUUAAUGCAUAUAUACAACAACAGAAUAGCAAGUGCGAUAGAAGAUAGAAAUGUUGUAAAAUGUUCUAUUAAAGAAACUCGAUUAAUUUGGAAUUAAUUUGAGCAGUUGAAGAAAGAUGAUGAAGGAAAUGGUGGUGUAAAUGAAAGCAACUCUAGUGGUGCCUCAAGAGGAAAUUGGUGGCAAGGAUCACUCUAUUAUUGAAGAAGAAGUUGCUUUUCACUGAAUUUCUGCUAUGAAAGAGAAGGUGAUUAUAUUCAUGAGGAAUUAUGAAUAUAAGGUUAUGCAUUAUGAAAGUAUUAUUAGUGUAGAUCAUUAACCUGGAACCAGCUAGUUAUUGUAACGUUUUGUUCCCGUUUUAGAGUACUUAACUUAAUUACGUACUUAUGAGUUUAAUUACUACUACUUAACCUUUGUAUCGUGUUGCAAUGUUUAAUAAACUAAAACUACGAGUCUUA